AUUCCAUAAUGAGGGCCGUUUUUGAUCAUCAUGUUGAAACGCUCAAAAGCUUCAUGAAACAUUUUGCCUUGUUGCUGUUGAAAACUCCUCAACCCUUUUUUUUGCAU
rfam:Helianthus annuus linkage group 2, whole genome shotgun sequence.